rnacentral:lncRNA from 1 species
UUAAGCCUGGCCCUGGUAAACCAAUUGAAGAUGCCAUUUAGAAGACCACUUAAUUGUUUCCUCGUCCCUAUGAAUGGAGACUAAGCGUGCAAACCGGGGAUGUGAAGGAGAGAAACCUGACAGGGCCUAAUCAUUUCCCCAUGGAAUUUCCCAUGAUCAAUGGAGCUUUUACAGGUUUGAAAAACAAAUGUGGUUAGACCCAAGUAGGUCACUGCGACUCAAGCCCUGCCUCAGGUAGUAGAAAAAAAUUAGCCCCCAU